AACAAACCAAUUUUUAACUUUUACCUAUAAUGUUUGACUCUCUAUUUUAUUUAAUUUUUUUUAUAAUUAAUAUUUUUUAUUUUUAUUAGAUGAUAAAUCAUAAAUAGUCUUAAUGUGUGACUAAUUUUUUUUCUAAAUUCUUAAAAAAGAUUUAAAUAAGACGGAUGGUUAAACGCUAAACAUGGAAAGUAAAGGGUUGACUUAUU
rnacentral:pre_miRNA from 1 species